AGCUCCAAUAGCGUAUAUUAAAGUUGUUGCGGUUAAAAAGCUCGUAGUUGGAUUUCUGUUGAGGACGACCGGUCUGCAUUUUGUGCAUGUAUCUGGCUCGGCCUUGGCAUCCUCUUGGAGAGCGUAGCUGCGCUUCAUUGCGUGGUGCGAUAUUCAAGACUUUUACUUUGAGGAAAUUAGAGUGUUCACGGCAGGCAAUCGCCUUGAAUAUACUUAGCAUGGAAUAAUAAUAUAGGAUCUUGGGUCUAUUUUGUUGGUUUCUAGAACUAAGAUAAUGAUUAAUAGGGAUAAUUGGGGGCAUUCGUAUUAACACGUCAGAGGUGGAAUUCUUGGAUUGUGUUACGACGAACUACUGCGAAAGCAUUUGCCAAGGAUGUUUUCAU
rnacentral:rRNA from 1 species